GACGAACGCUGGCGGCGUGCUUAACACAUGCAAGUCGAACGGUAAGGCCCUUCGGGGUACACGAGUGGCGAACGGGUGAGUAACACGUGGGUCAUCUGCCCUGCACUUCGGGAUAAGCCCGGGCAACUGGGUCUAACACCGGGAAGGACCACCGCCUGCAGGGGUGGUGGUGGAAAGCAUUUGCGGUGUGGGAUGGGCCCGCGGCCUAUCAGCUUGUUGGUGGGGUGAUGGCCUACCAAGGCGACGACGGGUAGCCGGCCUGAGAGGGUGACCGGCCACACUGGGACUGAGAUACGGCCCAGACUCCUACGGGAGGCAGCAGUGGGGAAUAUUGCACAAUGGGCGCAAGCCUGAUGCAGCGACGCCGCGUGAGGGAUGACGGCCUUCGGGUUGUAAACCUCUUUCAGCACCGACGAAGCGCAAGUGACGGUAGGUGCAGAAGAAGGACCGGCCAACUACGUGCCAGCAGCCGCGGUAA
rnacentral:rRNA from 1 species